rnacentral:lncRNA from 1 species
UCCUGCCAGGUAAAUUAAAGUGGUUCAACACAAAAAUUGAAUCAUUGUCAAAAUACUUGCACAUGACUAAGAUCACCCACCAGAUGUCAACUAGCCUCUGUUGUAUGACCAAGUCCAUUGUGGGAGUUAAUUACUUGUACUGUUCCAGAAAUCAUGUUCUACACUUGUUAUUAAUAUAUACAUGUAUGAAGAUAAACAACCCAAAAUAAG